GAUGAACGCUGGCGGCGUGCCUAAUACAUGCCAGUCGAGCGAACAGACGAGGAGCUUGCUCCUCUGACGUUAGCGGCGGACGGGUGAGUAACACGUGGAUAACCUACUUAUAAUACUGGGAUAACUUCGGGAAACCGGAGCUAAUACCGGAUAAUAUAUUGAACCGCAUGGUUCAAUAGUGAAUGACGGUUUUGCUGUCACUUAUAGAUGGAUCCGCGCCGGAUUAGCUAGUUGGUAAGGUAACGGCUUACCAAGGCGACGAUGCGUAGCCGACCUGAGAGGGUGAUAGGCCACACUGGAACUGAGACACGGUCCAGACUACUACGGGAGGCAGCAGUAGGGAAUCUUCGGCAAUGGGCGAAAGCCUGACGGAGCAACGCCGCGUGAGUGAUGAAGGUCUUCGGAUCGUAAAACUCUGUUAUUAGGGAAGAACAGAUGUGGAAGGAAAUAUGCACGUCUUGACGGUACCUAAUCAAAAAGCAACGGCUAACUACGUG
rnacentral:rRNA from 1 species